CCUACGGGGGGCUGCAGUGGGGAAUAUUGGACAAUGGGCGCAAGCCUGAUCCAGCCAUGCCGCGUGAGUGAUGAAGGCCCUAGGGUUGUAAAGCUCUUUCGCCAGGGACGAUAAUGACGGUACCUGGAUAAGAAGCCCCGGCUAACUUCGUGCCAGCAGCCGCGGUAAUACGAAGGGGGCUAGCGUUGUGCGGAAUCACUGGGCGUAAAGCGCACGUAGGCGGAUUUUUAAGUCAGGGGUGAAAUCCCGAGGCUCACCCUCGGACCUGCCUUUGAUACUGGGAGUCUAGAGUCCGGGCGCGGUGAGUGGACCUGCGAGUGUAGAGGUGAAAUUCGUAGAUAUUCGCAAGAACACCAGUGGCGAAGGCGGCUCACUGGCCCGGAACUGCCGCUGAGGUGCGAAAGCGUGGGUAGCAAACAGGAUUAGAUACCCCAGUAGUC
rnacentral:rRNA from 1 species